AUGUUCGAUCCCACGGAUCAGGAGCUGAUCGAGCACCUUGAGGCCAAAGUGAGUGCUGACAACGCGAGAUUUCAGUCUCUCAUCGAUUUGUUCAUACCAACCAUCGACAGCGAGCACAACAUAUGCUACACCGAACCUGAGAAACUUCCAGGUAUCACACCGAGUGGCCUAAGGAAGCAAUUCUUCCAGCGCAAUUCCAGGGCGUUCAAAAGGGGCACGUGGAUGCGUCGCAAGAUACAAUCGGAGUGUGGCAUGCACGCGAUGUGGAACAAGACCGGCAAUACCUUGCCGGUGAUGGUCAACGGCCGGCAGACGGGCAGCAAAAAAGGUUCUGGUGCUGCACACCAACAAGAACUUCGACCAGCAGAGGACCAACUGGGUGAUGCACCAGUACCACCUCGGGGACCUGGAGCAAGAGAAGGAGCGGGAACUGGUCCUCUGCAAGAUUUUCUACCAGACGAACACUAG
rnacentral:rRNA from 1 species